GGAGCACAGGUGCUGCAUGGCUGUCGUCAGCUCGUGUCGUGAGAUGUUGGGUUAAGUCCCGCAACGAGCGCAACCCUCGCCCUUAGUUGCCAUCAUUCAGUUGGGCACUCUAAGGGGACUGCCGGUGAUAAGCCGCGAGGAAGGUGGGGAUGACGUCAAGUCCUCAUGGCCCUUACGGGCUGGGCUACACACGUGCUACAAUGGCGGUGACAGUGGGAUGCGAAGGGGUAACCCUUAGCAAAUCUCAAAAAGCCGUCUCAGUUCGGAUUGGGGUCUGCAACUCGACCCCAUGAAGUCGGAAUCGCUAGUAAUCGCAGAUCAGCACGCUGCGGUGAAUACGUUCCCGGGCCUUGUACACACCGCCCGUCACACC
rnacentral:rRNA from 1 species